rfam:Hordeum vulgare subsp. vulgare, WGS project CAJW01000000 data, contig: morex_contig_1568495
GUGAGAAUCACAGUGCAGUUCUCCUCUGGCAUGGAUGCCAAUGUAGCAGGUCCUAGACAAGGGACUAUGGUAUCGCCGUCCCUGCCAAAGGAGAAUUGCCCUGCCAUUCAGUA